GAUAAACGCUGGCGGCGUGCCUAACACAUGCAAGUCGAACGUCCUUUUGGUUUCGGCCAGAAGGGAGUGGCGGACGGGUGAGUAACACGUGGGUUAUCUCCCUUGAGGUGAGGAAUACCGGCGAGAAAUCGCCGACAAAACCGCAUAGGAUUGGCAACAAUCAAAGUUUUGCUUCGCGAGAAGUGAGACGCCACAAGAUGAGCUCGCGCCCGAUUAGCUGGUUGGUGGGGUAAUGGCCUACCAAGGCGACCAUCGGUAGCUGGUCUGAGAGGAUGAU
rnacentral:rRNA from 1 species